UAGGGAAUCUUCGGCAAUGGACGAAAGUCUGACCGAGCCACGCCGCGUGAGUGAAGAAGGUUUUCGGAUCGUAAAACUCUGUUGUUAGAGAAGAACAAGGACGUUAGUAACUGAACGUCCCCUGACGGUAUCUAACCAGAAAGCAACGGCUAACUACGUGCCAGCAGCCGCGGUAAUACGUAGGUGGCAAGCGUUGUCCGGAGUUAUUGGGCGUAAAGCGAGCGCAGGCGGUUUCUUAAGUGUGAUGUGAAAGCCCCCGGCUCAACCGGGGAGGGUCAUUUGAAACUGGGAGACUUGAGGGCAGAAGAGGAGAGUGGAAUUCCAUGUGUAGCGGUGAAAUGCGUAGAUAUAUGGAGGAACACCAGUGGCGAAGGCGGCUCUCUGGUCUGUAACUGACGCUGAGGCUCGAAAGCGUGGGGAGCAAACAGG
rnacentral:rRNA from 1 species